CUGGGCGUAAGAGCAUGUAGGCGGGUAUUUAAGUCAGGAGUGAAAACUAUGGGCUCAACCCAUAGCCUGCUCUUGAAACUGGAUACCUUGAGGGUAUGAGAGGAAAGCGGAAUUCCCAGUGUAGCGGUGAAAUGCGUAGAUAUUGGGAGGAACACCAGUGGCGAAGGCGGCUUUCUGGCAUACAACUGACGCUGAGAUGCGAAAGCGUGGGGAGCGAACGGGAUUAGAUACCCCGGUAGUCCACGCCGUAAACGAUGGGUACUAGGUGUAGGAGGUAUCGACCCCUUCUGUGCCGUAGUUAACACAAUAAGUACCCCGCCUGGGGAGUACGGCCGCAAGGUUGAAACUCAAAGGAAUUGACGGGGGCCCGCACAAGCGGUGGAGCAUGUGGUUUAAUUCGACGCAACGCGAAGAACCUUACCAGGGCUUGACAUCCUCUGACGUCUCAAGAGAUUGGGAGUUUAAGAGCUUGCUCUUAACAGAGAGACAGGUGGUGCAUGGUUGUCGUCAGCUCGUGUCGUGAGAUGUUGGGUUAAGUCCCGCAACGAGCGCAACCCUUAUCUUUAGUUGCCAGCAAGUAAAGUUGGGCACUCUAGAGAGACUGCCGGUGACAAACCGGAGGAAGGUGGGGAUGACGUCAAAUCAUCAUGCCCCUUAUGUCCUGGGCUACACACGUGCUACAAUGGCCAGAACAAAGGGUAGCGAAGGGGUGACCUGGAGCCAAUCCCAUCAAAGCUGGUCUCAGUUCGGAUUGCAGGCUGCAACUCGCCUGCAUGAAGUCGGAAUCGCUAGUAAUCGCGGAUCAGCAUGUCGCGGUGAAUACGUUCCCGGGCCUUGUACACACCGCCCGUCACACCACGAAAGUCUGCAACACCCGAAGCCGGUGAGGUAACCGUAAGGAGCCAGCCGU
rnacentral:rRNA from 1 species